GUCCGCCUGCCUGGGCGGAGCCAGUGCGGCCUGCAAGGCUUCUGGGGCAACUUUUGGGCUAAGCAGUGGGUGGGUAGGUGGUCAUACCGGGAUAUGUGAAGCUGCAUCCCCCUUGCAGUUUUGACAGUAUGGUUCUGCCACCAGCAACCACAUCUUCAGUGAAGAGAACUCCUCACAGAGGAGGGGCAAGUGGCUAGCCCUGCUUCACAAGGCAACUCUCAUAUAUUGCAGUGAAAAUGGGUUGCAUGCUUUAGAAAAUUCCACAGAACAUUCAAGGGAAAGACACUCACGUAAGAUAUCAAAG